CCCUUAGAUGUUCUGGGCUGCACGCGCGCUACACUGAUGCAUGCAACGAGUUUUCGACCUUGCCUGAAAAGGUUGGGUAAUCUGUUUAACAUGUGUCGUGAUGGGGAUAGACCAUUGCAAUUAUUGAUCUUCAACGAGGAAUUCCUAGUAAGCGCGAGUCAUCAGCUCGUGCUGAUUAUGUCCCUGCCCUUUGUACACACCGCCCGUCGCUCCUACCGAUCGAGUGAUCCGGUGAAUGAUUCGGACCAGCGUGCUGCUCAGAUCCUGCGCAGUGUGCUGGGAAGUCUAGUGAACCUUAUCACUUAGAGGAAGGAGAAGUCGUAACA
rnacentral:rRNA from 1 species